GUUAGGAAUAUUGGACAAUGGGCGAAAGCCUGAUCCAGCCAUGCCGCGUGAACGAUGAAGGCCUUCGGGUUGUAAAGUUCUUUAGCCGAUGAUUAUAAUGACUGUAGUCGGAAAAUAAGCCCCGGCUAACUUCGUGCCAGCAGCCGCGGUAAUACGAAGGGGGCGAGCGUUAUUCGGAAUCACUGGGCGUAAAGCGUGCGUAGGCGGUUUUGUAAGUUAGGAGUGAAAGCCCAGGGCUCAACCUUGGAAUUGCUCUUAAAACUGCAAGGCUAGAAUCUCGGAGAGGAUAGCGGAAUUUCCAGUGUAGCAGUGAAAUGCGUAGAUAUUGGAAGGAACACCAGUGGCGUAAGCGGCUAUCUGGACGAGUAUUGACGCUGAGGCACGAAAGCGUGGGGAUCAAACAGGAUUAGAUACCCGGGUAGUCC
rnacentral:rRNA from 1 species